AUUGAACGCUGGCGGCGUGCUUAACACAUGCAAGUCGAUCGGUAACAGGUGUAGCAAUACAUGCUGACGAGAGGCGCACGGGUGAGGAAUAUUUGGGAAUCUGCCCAUCAGCGGGGGACAACCCGGGGAAACCCGGGCUAAUACCGCAUACGCUCUACGGAGGAAAGCCGGGGACCGCAAGGCCUGGCACUGAUGGAUGGGCCCAAAUCGGAUUAGCUAGUUGGCGGGGUAACGGCCCACCAAGGCGACGAUCCGUAGCUGGUCUGAGAGGACGAUCAGCCACACCGGAACUGAGACACGGUCCGGACUCCUACGGGAGGCAGCAGUGGGGAAUAUUGGACAAUGGGGGAAACCCUGAUCCAGCGACGCCGCGUGGGUGAAGAAGGCCUGCGGGUUGUAAAGCCCUUUCGGUAGGGACGAAAGCUCUUGCUCUAAUGAUGCAAGAGGUUGACUUAACCUACAUAAGAAGCACCGGCUAACUCUGUGCCAGCCGCCGCCGUAA
rnacentral:rRNA from 1 species